GAUGAACGCUGGCGGCGUGCCUAAUACAUGCAAGUCGAGCGAACAGACGAGGAGCUUGCUCCUCUGACGUUAGCGGCGGACGGGUGAGUAACACGUGGAUAACCUACCUAUAAGACUGGGAUAACUUCGGGAAACCGGAGCUAAUACCGGAUAAUAUAUUGAACCGCAUGGUUCAAUAGUGAAAGACGGUUUUGCUGUCACUUAUAGAUGGAUCCGCGCCGCAUUAGCUAGUUGGUAAGGUAACGGCUUACCAAGGCAACGAUGCGUAGCCGACCUGAGAGGGUGAUUGGCCACACUGGAACUGAGACACGGUCCAGACUCCUACGGGAGGCAGCAGUAGGGAAUCUUCCGCAAUGGGCGAAAGCCUGACGGAGCAACGCCGCGUGAGUGGUGAAGGUCUUCGGAUCGUAAAACUCUGUUAUUAGGGAAGAACAAAUGUGUAAGUAACUAUGCACGUCUUGACGGUACCUAAUCAGAAAGCCACGGCUAACUACGUG
rnacentral:rRNA from 1 species